GGUUAAGCGAAUAAGCGUACACGGUGGAUGCCUAGGCAAUCAGAGGCGAUGAAGGACGUGCUAAUCUGCGAUAAGCGUCGGUAAGGUGAUAUGAACCGUUAUACCCGACGAUUUCCGAAUGGGGAAACCCAAUAUCCAAUGGAUAUUAUCAUGACGUGAAUACAUAGCGUCAUGAAGCGAACCGGGAGAACUGAAACAUCUCAGUACCCCGAGGAAAAGAAAUCAACCGAGAUUCCCCUAGUAGCGGCGAGCGAACGGGGAACAGCCCAGAGUCUUAAUCAAUAGCAGCAUCAGGAGAACGGUCUGGAAAGUCCGGCAGUAAAGGGUGAUAGCCCCGUAUCCGAAGAUGCUGUUAUUGUGAACUCGACGAGUAGGGCGGGACACGUGUUAUCCUGUCUGAAUAUGGGGGGACCAUCCUCCAAGGCUAAAUACUCCUGAUUGACCGAUAGUGAACCAGUACCGUGAGGGAAAGGCGAAAAGAACCCCGGCGAGGGGAGUGAAAAAGAACCUGAAACCGUGUACGUACAAGCAGUAGGAGCCCCACCACUAAGCUAGUGGUGUCCUACACAGCGAUUCUUUUGCAUGAUAAGUGCGGUAGACGAAGCGAAGCGACGUCCAACACACAAAAUCAAGCAGAGGAGGCUUAGUGGUGGGGUGACUGCGUACCUUUUGUAUAAUGGGUCAGCGACUUAUAUUCUGUAGCAAGGUUAACCGUAUAGGGGAGCCGUAGGGAAACCGAGUCUUAACUGGGCGAAUGAGUUGCAGGGUAUAGACCCGAAACCCGGUGAUCUAUCCAUGGGCAGGUUGAAGGUUGGGUAACACUAACUGGAGGACCGAACCGACUAAUGUUGAAAAAUUAGCGGAUGACUUGUGGAUGGGGGUGAAAGGCCAAUCAAACCGGGAGAUAGCUGGUUCUCCCCGAAAGCUAUUUAGGUAGCGCCUCGUGAAUUCAUCUUCGGGGGUAGAGCACUGUUUCGACUAGGGGGUCAUCCCGACUUACCAACUCGAUGCAAACUGCGAAUACCGAAGAAUGUUAUCACGGGAGACACACGGCGGGUGCUAACGUCCGUCGUGAAGAGGGAAACAACCCAGACCGCCAGCUAAGGUCCCAAAGUCAUGGUUAAGUGGGAAACGAAGUGGGAAGGCUCAGACAGCCAGGAUGUUGGCUUAGAAGCAGCCAUCAUUUAAAGAAAGCGUAAUAGCUCACUGGUCGAGUCGGCCCGCGCGGAAGAUGUAACGGGGCUAAACCAUGCACCGAAGCUGCGGCAGCGACACUAUGUGUUGUUGGGUAGGGGAGCGUUCUGUAAGCCUGCGAAGGUGUACUGUGAGGUAUGCUGGAGGUAUCAGAAGUGCGAAUGCUGACAUAAGUAACGAUAAUGCGGGUGAAAAACCCGCACGCCGGAAGACCAAGGGUUCCUGUCCAACGUUAAUCGGGGCAGGGUGAGUCGACCCCUAAGGCGAGGCUGAAAAGCGUAGUCGAUGGGAAACGGGUUAAUAUUCCCGUACUGGUGGUAACUGCGAUGGGGGAACGGAGAAGGCUAGGUUGUCCGGGCGACGGUCGUCCCGGUUCAAGCAUGUAGGCAGAGUGAUUAGGCAAAUCCGGUCACUUAAUGCUGAGGUGUGAUGACGAGCCACUAAGGUGGUGAAGCAAUUGAUGCCCUGCUUCCAGGAAAAGCCUCUAAGCUUCAGGUUACCAACAAUCGUACCCCAAACCGACACAGGUGGUCAGGUAGAGAAUACUCAGGCGCUUGAGAGAACUC
rnacentral:rRNA from 1 species